rnacentral:rRNA from 1 species
GAAUAUUGCACAAUGGGCGAAAGCCUGAUGCAGCAACGCCGCGUGAGCGAUGAAGGUCUUCGGAUCGUAAAGCUCUGUCCUCAAGGAAGAAUAUUGACGGUACUUGAGGAGGAAGCCCCGGCUAACUACGUGCCAGCAGCCGCGGUAAUACGUAGGGGGCUAGCGUUAUCCGGAAUUACUGGGCGUAAAGGGUGCGUAGGCGGUCUUGCAAGUCAGAGGUGAAAGGCUACGGCUCAACCGUAGUAAGCCUUUGAAACUGUAGGACUUGAGUGCAGGAGAGGAAAGUGGAAUUCCCAGUGUAGCGGUGAAAUGCGUAGAUAUUGGGAGGAACACCAGUUGCGAAGGCGGCUUUCUGGACUGUAACUGACGCUGAGGCACGAAAGCGUGGGGAGCGAACAG